rnacentral:tRNA from 1 species
UAUUUUUAUAGCUCAUAUAGAGCAUUACACUGAAGAAGUAAAGGAAGUUUUAACUUAAAAAU